GACAGAGGGUGCAAACGUUGUUCGGAAUUACUGGGCGUAAAGCGAGUGUAGGCGGUCCGAUAAGUCGGGUGUGAAAGCCCUGGGCUCAACCCAGGAAGUGCACUCGAAACUGCCGGGCUAGAGUAUCGGAGAGGUUGGUGGAAUUCUCGGUGUAGAGGUGAAAUUCGUAGAUGUCGAGAGGAACACCGGUGGCGAAGGCGGCCAACUGGACGAAUACUGACGCUGAGACUCGAAAGCGUGGGGAGCAAACAGG
rnacentral:rRNA from 1 species